rnacentral:misc_RNA from 1 species
GCUCUUCACCUGGAAUAUGAGAGUGCCGUGAACGUCAGUGACUGUAAAAUUGUUUUCUCCAAGAGUCAAGAGCUUGCUGGCAACAGUGAGGUCCACCGGAUACUGUGCCAGGAACUGUGGCCCUAUCACCACCAACGGUCUCUCCAGUGGCUGAUAACUUGUCAUCGCCGGAAUUGGGUUGGGGUUGCUCUGUACCGAAU